rnacentral:rRNA from 1 species
GGUUAAGCGACUAAGCGUACACGGUGGAUGCCCUGGCAGUCAGAGGCGAUGAAGGACGUGCUAAUCUGCGAAAAGCGUCGGUAAGGUGAUAUGAACCGUUAUAGCCGGCGAUGUCCGAAUGGGGAAACCCAGUGUGAUUCGUCACACUAUCGUUAACUGAAUACAUAGGUUAACGAGGCGAACCGGGGGAACUGAAACAUCUAAGUACCCCGAGGAAAAGAAAUCAACCGAGAUUCCCCCAGUAGCGGCGAGCGAACGGGGAGCAGCCCAGAGUCUGAAUCAGCUUGUGUGUUAGUGGAACGGUCUGGAAAGUCCGACGGUACAGGGUGAUAGUCCCGUACACCAAAAUGCACAGGCUGUGAACUCGAAGAGUAGGGCGGGACACGUGGUAUCCUGUCUGAAUAUGGGGGGACCAUCCUCCAAGGCUAAAUACUCCUGACUGACCGAUAGUGAACCAGUACCGUGAGGGAAAGGCGAAAAGAACCCCGGCGAGGGGAGUGAAAAAGAACCUGAAACCGUGUACGUACAAGCAGUGGGAGCACCUUUAUGGUGUGACUGCGUACCUUUUGUAUAAUGGGUCAGCGACUUAUAUUCUGUAGCAAGGUUAACCGUAUAGGGGAGCCGCAGGGAAACCGAGUCUUAACUGGGCGUUAAGUUGCAGGGUAUAGACCCGAAACCCGGUGAUCUAGCCAUGGGCAGGUUGAAGGUUGGGUAACACUAACUGGAGGACCGAACCGACUAAUGUUGAAAAAUUAGCGGAUGACUUGUGGCUGGGGGUGAAAGGCCAAUCAAACCGGGAGAUAGCUGGUUCUCCCCGAAAGCUAUUUAGGUAGCGCCUCGUGAACUCAUCUUCGGGGGUAGAGCACUGUUUCGGCUAGGGGGUCAUCCCGACUUACCAACCCGAUGCAAACUACGAAUACCGAAGAAUGUUAUCACGGGAGACACACGGCGGGUGCUAACGUCCGUCGUGAAGAGGGAAACAACCCAGACCGCCAGCUAAGGUCCCAAAGUCAUGGUUAAGUGGGAAACGAUGUGGGAAGGCACAGACAGCCAGGAUGUUGGCUUAGAAGCAGCCAUCAUUUAAAGAAAGCGUAAUAGCUCACUGGUCGAGUCGGCCUGCGCGGAAGAUGUAACGGGGCUAAACCAUGCACCGAAGCUGCGGCAGCGACACUAUGUGUUGUUGGGUAGGGGAGCGUUCUGUAAGCCUGCGAAGGUGGCCUGUGAGGGUUGCUGGAGGUAUCAGAAGUGCGAAUGCUGACAUAAGUAACGAUAAAGCGGGUGAAAAGCCCGCUCGCCGGAAGACCAAGGGUUCCUGUCCAACGUUAAUCGGGGCAGGGUGAGUCGACCCCUAAGGCGAGGCCGAAAGGCGUAGUCGAUGGGAAACAGGUUAAUAUUCCUGUACUUGGUGUUACUGCGAAGGGGGGACGGAGAAGGCUAUGUUAGCCGGGCGACGGUUGUCCCGGUUUAAGCAUGUAGGCUGGUUAUCCAGGCAAAUCCGGAUAAUCAAGGCUGAGGUGUGAUGACGAGGCACUACGGUGCUGAAGUAACAAAUGCCCUGCUUCCAGGAAAAGCCUCUAAGCAUCAGGUAACAUCAAAUCGUACCCCAAACCGACACAGGUGGUCAGGUAGAGAAUACCAAGGCGCUUGAGAGAACUCGGGUGAAGGAACUAGGCAAAAUGGUGCCGUAACUUCGGGAGAAGGCACGCUGGUGUGUAGGUGAAGUCCCUGCGGAUGGAGCUGAGACCAGUCGAAGAUACCAGCUGGCUGCAACUGUUUAUUAAAAACACAGCACUGUGCAAACACGAAAGUGGACGUAUACGGUGUGACGCCUGCCCGGUGCCGGAAGGUUAAUUGAUGGGGUUAUCCGUAAGGAGAAGCUCUUGAUCGAAGCCCCGGUAAACGGCGGCCGUAACUAUAACGGUCCUAAGGUAGCGAAAUUCCUUGUCGGGUAAGUUCCGACCUGCACGAAUGGCGUAAUGAUGGCCAGGCUGUCUCCACCCGAGACUCAGUGAAAUUGAACUCGCUGUGAAGAUGCAGUGUACCCGCGGCAAGACGGAAAGACCCCGUGAACCUUUACUAUAGCUUGACACUGAACAUUGAGCCUUGAUGUGUAGGAUAGGUGGGAGGCUUUGAAGCGUGGACGCCAGUCUGCGUGGAGCCAACCUUGAAAUACCACCCUUUAAUGUUUGAUGUUCUAACGUUGGCCCCUUAUCGGGGUUGCGGACAGUGUCUGGUGGGUAGUUUGACUGGGGCGGUCUCCUCCCAAAGCGUAACGGAGGAGCACGAAGGUUAGCUAAUCCUGGUCGGACAUCAGGAGGUUAGUGCAAUGGCAUAAGCUAGCUUGACUGCGAGCGUGACGGCGCGAGCAGGUGCGAAAGCAGGUCAUAGUGAUCCGGUGGUUCUGAAUGGAAGGGCCAUCGCUCAACGGAUAAAAGGUACUCCGGGGAUAACAGGCUGAUACCGCCCAAGAGUUCAUAUCGACGGCGGUGUUUGGCACCUCGAUGUCGGCUCAUCACAUCCUGGGGCUGAAGUAGGUCCCAAGGGUAUGGCUGUUCGCCAUUUAAAGUGGUACGCGAGCUGGGUUUAGAACGUCGUGAGACAGUUCGGUCCCUAUCUGCCGUGGGCGCUGGAGAAUUGAGGGGGGCUGCUCCUAGUACGAGAGGACCGGAGUGGACGCAUCACUGGUGUUCGGGUUGUCAUGCCAAUGGCACUGCCCGGUAGCUAAAUGCGGAAGAGAUAAGUGCUGAAAGCAUCUAAGCACGAAACUUGCCCCGAGAUGAGUUCUCCCUGAGACUAUAAGUCUCCUGAAGGAACGUUGAAGACGACGACGUUGAUAGGCCGGGUGUGUAAGCGCAGCGAUGCGUUGAGCUAACCGGUACUAAUGAACCGUGAGGCUUAACCUU